GACGAACGCUGGCGGCGUGCUUAACACAUGCAAGUCGAACGGAAAGGCCCUGCUUUUGUGGGGUGCUCGAGUUGCGAACGGGUGAGUAACACGUAAGUUCCCUGCCCCUGACUGUGGGAUAACUUCAGGAAACUGGGGCUAAUACCGGAUAGGAUCUCCUGCUGCAUGGUGGGGGUUGGUAAGUUUCGGCGGUUGGGGAUGGACUGGCGGCUUAUCAGCUUGUUGGUUGGGUAGUGUCUUAGCAAGGCCAUGACGGGUAGCCGGGCUGGGCGGGUGACCGGCCCAGUUAGGACGGGGAUGAGACCCGGACUAGUACGGGAGGCAACAGAGGGGAAGGGAGCACUGUGGGCUGAAGGCUGGUGUGGCAACGCCGUGCGCGGUGUGAGAGCCAGCGGGUUGGGAACCGCAUUCGUCUUUGACGGGGCGAGAGUGACGGUAAUGGGUAAAGAAGCACCGGCUAACUACGUG
rnacentral:rRNA from 1 species